CUGCCCCGGAGCUUCCCGGGUGUUUCCUUUCACCCAGCGUCGGGAGCCCGGCCUGUCACGCUCCUCUGCGGCUCUCUCUGCCCUUUGAUUUGUGUUUACGGUAAAGGAGGCGAACCUGCGGUAAAGUACAGAUACAGAUCAUGGCAGGAUCUAUUGGAAUUCAUAAAGAUCAAAUACUGAUAUAGGAAAUAUAAACAUCUGGUCCUUCGUGUAUCUGGAAGAAAAAUGAGAUUAAGUCACAGAAGGUAUGCUUCAAAAAGCAUCUGCUUCAAAAGACAUCCCGAUGUUGAGGAUAAUUCUAAGAAUGAGAGUCCCAAUUGAAGAAUGGAUUCAGCCUCUACAGAAAGCACUGCCUGAAGGAUUUACAAGCCAUUUGUGCAUCCAGCUGGUAACAUUUUUAUGUAACUUAAAAAGCCACUCUAAUAUUACACCGACAGUCAACACCAAUCUGGU